UGCUCAAGAGUUAGAAAGCUGGAUCAGAUCAGGAACUAUAGUUCUUGAGUCUUAGUGGAUUUAGAUCAGAAGUUCUCCUCACUAAUUACACGCAUUAAGAAAAAUCAAGAGAAAUAGAUCACUUUCUUGUCACCAGUGGUCUUCUCCUUCUUGGAGUUGUUGACCUUGUCAAGGAAAGGAUUACCGUUAAUGGUGUUGACGGUGCUAAUAACGGUGCAGCUGAUGAUGCAAUUUCUACAAUUCUUUUACCAUGCCAUCCGCCAUAAUUCUACAGGAGAUUUGUAGCUUACCCCAUGAGCAGCCAUCUGAAAUAUAAAGAGAUAUUGCAGAUUUAUAGAUCAUACUGAUGAAUUUGACGGGUUGGUUAUGGGAUUUGCGUCGAUCUACUUCUUCACCAGAUUAUAAAGUCCUGCUCCUGACAAUGGUGGAUAGGAUGAUAUUUAGAUGAAAAUUGGCAAGAUUGUAGAUAAAGUUUUGUUAACAAAGUGGUGACCACUCAUGACAGAAGCUUCAUACUAUGAGUGUUGUUUUACAACAUAAUUAAGAGGAACAAUGGGAAUACAUUGUUAUUUUGAUAGAAGGUGCUGUCAUUAACUACAUUUCUCUCAUGGUGAGAACUAUACUGGCACACCAGGUAUGUUACUGAUUCAUAAUAUUCAUCUUUUAAUUUGUAUUUUUCAUGUCUUGAUGUUUCAUAAUA